GCACAUAACCAAAAAAUUAAGGGGUCAAAUUACAAUACACCCUAAAUUUUAUAUGAUCAAUGGAAUAUUUCAUUCCUUCCUUGCACGUAUACAACAUGGUGACUUUUUCUUUACUUAACCAUGUAAUAUGUGAUACUAUGUUGAGGAAGGGAAUCCCACCCAAUUUUUUUUCCCCUUCAAAAUUUGUUUGUACAAAGAGUUCAUAAGAGGUUAAAUGCAAUUGGAAGUAUAGAAUAUUUGAUGAGUUUACUUAUUAAUUUCCCUUCUCAUCUCCUCCUUUUUUAACAAUGCAACCAAACAUAACAUUAUGCCUUGUUGGUUUUCCCCCUCAUCAAAAUCAUCACAUUAUUAUUAUUAUUAUUAUUAUUAGUAGUAGUAGCACAUUAAUAAUAUGUUACCAAACUUAGAUCUCAUUCUUCUCACCCUUGUCCAUGCCUCACUCAUUUGCUGUGUUCUUCUCUUAGUCAUCUCCACCAUCUUGUUGGUUCUCUUUGCCGCCUUGUCGCUCGCACUUUCCUCGAUGAUCAUCUUUGAUUUGCACGAAUUUUCGUCGUCCAUCAUGUUGGAGCAUUUGAAAAUGGCAAAGGAUGAUAUUGAAUUGGGUGUGGUUCUGAUUGUUGUAUACUUAAUUCAACAAGGUGUAGGAUUUGUUUUGAGUUCAAAGCAUAAUCGUCAGCAUAAUAAGCACAAGUACAAGACGUAUUGAAGAAGCAAUGAUAUAAGAUCAAUAAUCUUCUUCAGCUCUAAUGGCACCAUCAUUAUUCUCCCUAUUCAUAUUUAAAUUAGUUUCCACUUUUGACUUUUCAUGUGGACUAAGAAAAUAAUUGGAAUGCAUUCGUCAGUUAUUAAUGUAAAUAAAGAAGAAUGAUUCAGAGACACUACUUGAGCACAUGUUUAUUACACGUGCGUUUUUCUGGCAAGUGUGGUGUGUUUGAUUUCGACGAUUUGGCAGAGUACGGAUGCCUUUAGGAACAAUGACAAGUCACCUUAAGAGCUGGAUGACGGUAUCAUUGACAAAAGAAGAGCUGAAGAAGUGGUUGAUUGGUUUUUUUUUCUCGAUUCUUUGAGCAAGAUGGGCGAAUGAAAACAUCUUUCAAAAAAAAAGAAAUAGAGGCCAAUUAUAUAAUUGAGAUGAGAGGAAUUAACUAUAUAGUGAAACAUGAUGCAAAUUAUAACUGCAUUUAUUAUUCAUAUGAACAGUGUCACAGGGAGCUAUAAGCAGAAUUCCCUCCCAUAUCUGUGUAAAAAAUACACACAGAUUUAUACAAAUCUUGUGAAUACUACAUUUCCCUCUACAAUAUAAUAUAAUAGCUUCUCUAUAUC